AAGCCCCGGCACCACUUCGGUGCGUCUUCGAACUUGCAUUUCGACGUCGUCUUGCGACCACAGGG
rnacentral:tRNA from 1 species